UACAGAGGGUGCGAGCGUUGUUCGGAAUUAUUGGGCGUAAAGGGCGCGUAGGCGGUGCGGUAAGUCACUUGUGAAAUCUCCUGGCUCAACUGGGAGCUUGCAGGCGAAACUGCCGUGCUGGAGUGUGGGAGAGGUGCGUGGAAUUCCCGGUGUAGCGGUGAAAUGCGUAGAUAUCUGGAGGAACACCGGUGGCGAAGGCGGCGACCUGGGUAGAUACUGACGCUGAGGUGCGAAAGCGUGGGGAGCAACAGG
rnacentral:rRNA from 1 species